rnacentral:rRNA from 1 species
UACGUAGGGACCAAGCGUUGUCCGGAAUCAUUGGGCGUAAAGCGCGCGUAGGUGGCCAUUUAAGUCCGCUGUGAAAGUCAGAGGCUCAACCUUUGAAAGCCGGUGGAUACUGGAUGGCUAGAGUACGGAAGAGGCGAGUGGAAUUCCUGGUGUAGCGGUGAAAUGCGCAGAUAUCAGGAGGAACACCGAUGGCGAAGGCAGCUCACUGGGACGGUACUGACGCUGAGGCGCGACAGCGUGGGGAGCAAACAGG